GCCGGGGUAGCUCAAUGGUAGAGCAAUCGCUUCGUAAGCGAUAGGUUGUGGGUUCGAGUCCCAUCUCCGGCU
rnacentral:tRNA from 1 species